GGGGAAUAUUGCACAAUGGGCGCAAGCCUGAUGCAGCCAUGCCGCGUGUGUGAAGAAGGCCUUCGGGUUGUAAAGCACUUUCAGCGAGGAGGAAGGGUAGUGUGUUAAUAGCACAUUGCAUUGACGUUACUCGCAGAAGAAGCACCGGCUAACUCCGUGCCAGCAGCCGCGGUAAUACGGAGGGUGCAAGCGUUAAUCGGAAUUACUGGGCGUAAAGCGCACGCAGGCGGUUUGUUAAGUCAGAUGUGAAAUCCCCGCGCUUAACGUGGGAACUGCAUUUGAAACUGGCAAGCUAGAGUCUUGUAGAGGGGGGUAGAAUUCCAGGUGUAGCGGUGAAAUGCGUAGAGAUCUGGAGGAAUACCGGUGGCGAAGGCGGCCCCCUGGACAAAGACUGACGCUCAGGUGCGAAAAGCGU
rnacentral:rRNA from 1 species